rnacentral:piRNA from 1 species
UUCCAUAAUUGGUAGAAAACG